rnacentral:rRNA from 1 species
GUGUCAGCAGCCGCGGUAAUACAGAGACUGCAAGCGUUAUUCGGAUUCACUGGGCGUAAAGGGUGCGCAGGCGGUUGCGUGUGUUGGAUGUGAAAGCCCGGGGCUCAACCCCGGAAUUGCGUCCAAAACUACGCGACUAGAGUACCGGAGAGGAUAGCGGAAUUCACGGUGUAGCAGUGAAAUGCGUAGAUAUCGUGAAGAACACCAGCGGCGAAGGCGGCUAUCUGGAAGGUAACUGACGCUCAGGCACGAAAGCGUGGGGAGCAAAAGGGAUUAGAAACCCCCGUAGUCC